AUAUUGGACAAUGGGGGCAACCCUGAUCCAGCCAUGCCGCGUGCGUGAAGAAGGCCUUCGGGUUGUAAAGCGCUUUCACCCGUGACGAUGAUGACGGUAGCGGGAGAAGAAGCCCCGGCUAACUCCGUGCCAGCAGCCGCGGUAAUACGGAGGGGGCAAGCGUUGUUCGGAAUUACUGGGCGUAAAGGGCGCGUAGGCGGCGUGACAGGUCAGGCGUGAAAGCCCCGGGCUCAACCUGGGAACUGCGCUUGAUACGGUCAUGCUAGAGGUUGGGAGAGGAGAGUGGAAUUCCCAGUGUAGAGGUGAAAUUCGUAGAUAUUGGGAAGAACACCAGUGGCGAAGGCGGCUCUCUGGCCCAUACCUGACGCUGAGGCGCGAAAGCGUGGGGAGCAAACAGG
rnacentral:rRNA from 1 species